GAUCAGUAGCCGACCUGAGAGGGUGACCGGCCACAUUGGGACUGAGACACGGCCCAAACUCCUACGGGAGGCAGCAGUGGGGAAUAUUGCACAAUGGGGGGAACCCUGAUGCAGCAACGCCGCGUGAAGGAAGACGGUUUUCGGAUUGUAAACUUCUAUCAAUAGGGAAGAAAGAAAUGACGGUACCUAAAUAAGAAGCCCCGGCUAACUACGUGCCAGCAGCCGCGGUAAUACGUAGGGGGCAAGCGUUAUCCGGAAUUACUGGGUGUAAAGGGAGAGUAGGCGGCAAGGUAAGCGAUAUGUGAAAGCCUUAGGCUUAACCUGAGGAUUGCAUAACGAACUAUCUAGCUAGAGUACAGGAGAGGAAAGCGGAAUUCCUAGUGUAGCGGUGAAAUGCGUAGAUAUUAGGAAGAACACCAGUGGCGAAGGCGGCUUUCUGGACUGAAACUGACGCUGAGGCUCGAAAGCGUGGGGAGCGAACAGGAUUAGAUACCCUGGUAGUCCACGCUGUAAACGAUGAGUGCUAGGUGUCGGGGAGGAAUCCUCG
rnacentral:rRNA from 1 species